rnacentral:rRNA from 1 species
CACAUGCAAAGUCGAACGAGACUUCGGGUCUAGUGGCGCACGGGUGCGCGUAACGCGUGGGAAUCUGCCCUUGGGUACGGAAUAACAGUUAGAAAUGACUGGCUAAUACCGUAUAAUGACUUCGGUCCAAAGAUUUAUCGCCCAGGGAUGAGCCCGCGUAGGAUUAGCUUGUUGGUGAAGGUAAGAGCUCACCAAGGCGACGAUCCUUAGCUGGUCUGAGAGGAUGAUCAGCCACACUGGGACUGGAGACACGGCCAGACUCCUACGGGAGGCAGCAGUGGGGAAUAUUGGACAAUGGGCGAAAGCCUGAUCCAGCAAUGCCGCGUGAGUGAUGAAGGCCUCUAGGGUUGUAAAGCUCUUUUGUGCGGGAAGAUUAAUCGACGGUACCGCAAGAAUAAGCCCCGGCUAACUUCGUGCCAGCAGCCGCGGUAAAUACGAAGGGGGCUAGCGUUG